rnacentral:guide_RNA from 1 species
AAGAUAGAAGAGUGAGAAUGUUACAGU